CCUACGGGAGGCAGCAGUCGAGAAUCAUUCACAAUGGGGGAAACCCUGAUGGGGCGACGCCGCGUGGGGGAAUGAAGGUCUUCGGAUUGUAAACCCCUGUCAUGUGGGAGCAAAUUAAAAAGAUAGUACCACAAGAGGAAGAGACGGCUAACUCUGUGCCAGCAGCCGCGGUAAUACAGAGGUCUCAAGCGUUGUUCGGAAUCACUGGGCGUAAAGCGUGCGUAGGCUGUUUCGUAAGUCGUGUGUGAAAGGCGCGGGCCCAACCCGCGGACGGCACCUGAUACUGCGAGACUAGAGUAAUGGAGGGGGAACCGGAAUUCUCGGUGUAGCAGUGAAAUGCGUAGAUAUCGAGAGGAACACUCGUGGCGAAGGCGGGUUCCUGGACAUUAACUGACGCUGAGGCACGAAGGCCAGGGGAGCGAAAGGGAUUAGAUACCCGGGUAGUC
rnacentral:rRNA from 1 species